rnacentral:rRNA from 1 species
UGAGUAACACGUGGGUGAUCUGCCCUGCACUUUGGGAUAAGCCUGGGAAACUGGGUCUAAUACCGAAUAGGACCGCGCUCUUCAUGGGGUGUGGUGGAAAGCUUUUGCGGUGUGGGAUGGGCCCGCGGCCUAUCAGCUUGUUGGUGGGGUAAUGGCCUACCAAGGCGACGACGGGUAGCCGGCCUGAGAGGGUGACCGGCCACACUGGGACUGAGAUACGGCCCAGACUCCUACGGGAGGCAGCAGUGGGGAAUAUUGCACAAUGGGCGCAAGCCUGAUGCAGCGACGCCGCGUGAGGGAUGACGGCCUUCGGGUUGUAAACCUCUUUCAAUAGGGACGAAGCGCAAGUGACGGUACCUAUAGAAGAAGGACCGGCCAACUACGUGCCAGCAGCCGCGGUAAUACGUAGGGUCCGAGCGUUGUCCGGAAUUACUGGGCGUAAAGAGCUCGUAGGUGGUUUGUCGCGUUGUUCGUGAAAACUCACAGCUUAACUGUGGGCGUGCGGGCGAUACGGGCAGACUAGAGUACUGCAGGGGAGACUGGAAUUCCUGGUGUAGCGGUGGAAUGCGCAGAUAUCAGGAGGAACACCGGUGGCGAAGGCGGGUCUCUGGGCAGUAACUGACGCUGAGGAGCGAAAGCGUGGGGAGCGAACAGGAUUAGAUACCCUGGUAGUCCACGCCGUAAACGGUGGGUACUAGGUGUGGGUUUCCUUCCUUGGGAUCCGUGCCGUAGCUAACGCAUUAAGUACCCCGCCUGGGGGAGUACGGCCGCAAGGCUAAAACUCAAAAGGAAUUGACGGGGGGCCCGCACA